rnacentral:tRNA from 2 species
CACCUGCUUGCGCAGGAGCACGCGGCGAUCGCCCUGAUUGAACGCUUCGUCGCCCGGCGGCACCGCAUCGUUCGGGCCGAUGUAGGUGU